rnacentral:rRNA from 1 species
AAACUUUAUGGUCAAGUUACUAAGGGCACACAGGGGAUGCCUUGGCGCAGGUAGGCGAUGAAGGACGUGGCAAGCUGCGAUAAGCUCCGAGGAGCCGCUAAGCGGGCUUUGAUCCGGAGAUUUCCGAAUGGGGAAACCCACCAUGGUGAUGCCAUGGUAUCCUCACCUGAAUCCAUAGGGUGAGGAAGCGAACCCAGGGAAGGGAACCAUCUCAGUACCUGGAGGAAAAGAAAGCAACCGCGAUUCCCUAAGUAGCGGCGAGCGAACGGGGAACAGCCCAAACCGCAUGCAUGUUAAAGCCUGGGCGCGUUGUGCGUGCGGGGUCGUGGGACCCGACCUGGCUUCGGCCCGGAGAAGCCAGAGAGUCAAAAAGGGCAAUCUUAGCUGAAUACCAUGGAAAGGGUAACCAGAGAAGGUGAAAGUCCUGUAGGCGACAAGAUUGUCUCUCUCGGUCGGGCACCCAAGUACCACGGGACACGUGGAAUCCUGUGGGAAUUCAGGAGGACCAUCUCCUAAGGCUAAAUACUAACCUGCGACCGAUAGCGAACUAGUACCGUGAGGGAAAGGUGAAAAGAACCCCUGUUAGGGGAGUGAAACAGAACCUGAAACUGUGUGCUUACAAGCACUCGGAGCCUCCGCAAGGGGGUGACGGGGUGCCUUUUGCUUAAUGAGCCGGCUAGUUACUCUAUGCGGCGAGGUUAAUCACCUUAUGGUGAGGAGCCGUAGCGAAAGCGAGUCCGAAUAGGGCGACCAGUCGUAUGGAGUAGACGCGAAGCCGAGGUGAUCUACCCUUGGCCAGGAUGAACUGUGGGUAACACCACAGGGAGGUCCGAACCGGUGUUGGUUGAAAACAGCUCGGAUGAGCUGAGGGUAGGGGUGAAAGGCUAAUCAAACUCGGAGAUAGCUCGUUCUCCCCGAAAUAGCUUUAGGGCUAGCCUCGCGCGAAUGGUAUAGGAGGUAGAGCACUGGAUGGCCUAGGGGGCCGAAAGGCCUUCCGAAUCCAACCAAACUCCGAAUUCCUAUAACCACUACGCGGGAGUAAGACUACGAGCUCUAAGGUCCGUGGUCAAAAGGGAAACAGCCCAGACCGCCAGCUAAGGUCCCUAAAUGCAAGCUAAGUGGGCAAGGAUGUGGAAACGCUGAGACAACCAGGAGGUUGGCUUAGAAGCAGCCAUCCUUUAAAGAAAGCGUAACAGCUCACUGGUCAAGUAUUUCCGCGCCGACAAUGUAACGGGGCUAAGCUUGCUACCGAAGCUGCGGAAUCGGUCGUAAGGCCGAUUGGUAGGGGAGCAUUCCGUAGGCGCUGAAGUAAGAUCGCGAGGUCUUAUGGAGCGUACGGAAGAGACUCUGCCGGCACGAGUAGCGAUAACUGCUGUAGAAACCAGCAGCGCCGAAAAUCUAAGGUUUCCUGGGGAAGGUCAGUCCGCCCAGGGUUAGUCGGCACCUAAGCUGAGGCCGAAAGGCGUAGGCGAUGGAGAGCAGGUCAACAUUCCUGCACCACCCGUAAGGCGUUUGUACGAUGGGGGGACGCAGAAGGAUAGGCAUACGUGCGGUUGGAAAGGCACGGCCGCCAAGUAGGGGGAGCUCCUAGGCAAAUCCGGGAGCUCGUUAACCCUGAAUACGGCGGGGAAGCAGGGCUUCGGUCCUGUGAACUUGCUGAAUCCACGCUGCCGAGAAAAUCCUCUAAGGAGUCUUAUGGGUGACCGUACCGCAAACCGACACAGGUAGAUGAGGAGAGAAUCCUAAGGCGCACGUGUGAGCCCUCUCUAAGGAACUAGGCAAGUUGACCCCGUAACUUCGGGAGAAGGGGUGCCUCGGUAGGGUUUAGUUGCAUAAACAAAGCCCGAGGAGGCCGCAGAAAAAUGGCUCUUGCGACUGUUUAGUAAAAACACAGGACUCUGCAAAGACAUAAAAUCGAUGUAUAGGGUCUGACGCCUGCCCGGUGCCGGAAGGUUAAGGGGAGGGGUUAGCCGCAAGGCGAAGCUCCAAACCGAAGCCCCGGUAAACGGCGGCCGUAACUAUAGGCUGGACCGCUGUAGUUGUAAAACCUGACUAUAUGCUGGGAAAUCCGAGUAUCCGGCACUACUUGCUGCCUUAUGGCUGGCAAGUGACAAUGUGUCCGGUGCGGACAAUCAGCAGGAAAGGCUUCAGGAAAAACAAAAAGUAUUCCUGAAACAUCCUCAGAGACUAUACGUCAGGCUCUCCCCGAUGAUAAUAGGGAGAGAUGAUAUAGUCCGUUCCCUUCAGCGAUGGAGGGCGCUCGGCAAUAUCUGAGCGGCACUUAAAAAAAUAAAAAGGUGCAACAUAAGAACGGUCCUAAGGUAACUCUGAAAAAGAGCUGCCUUUCCCGGUAGUAAUACCGGGACUCACACUUGGCUGUAUGCGGGAACACCCUUAUAGCUCUGGCUACCAGCAGCGAAGGCUGCGGUAAAAAUUCCAGAGAUUGGGCAAUCCGCAGGAAACCCUGCGCUUGAGGUAGGCGCAGGAGAUCCUCAGAGGC